rnacentral:rRNA from 1 species
AACGCUGGCGGAAUGCUUUACACAUGCAAGUCGAACGGUAGAGGGGGCAACCCCUUGAGAGUGGCGAACGGGUGAGUAAUAUAUCGGAACGUGCCCAGUCGUGGGGGAUAACGUAGCGAAAGUUACGCUAAUACCGCAUACGAUCUAAGGAUGAAAGCGGGGGAUCGCAAGACCUCGCGCGACUGGAGCGGCCGAUAUCAGAUUAGGUAGUUGGUAGGGUAAAGGCCUACCAAGCCAACGAUCUGUAGCUGGUCUGAGAGGACGACCAGCCACACUGGAACUGAGACACGGUCCAGACUCCUACGGGAGGCAGCAGUGGGGAAUUUUGGACAAUGGGCGAAAGCCUGAUCCAGCCAUUCCGCGUGCAGGAUGAAGGCCCUCGGGUUGUAAACUGCUUUUGUACAGAACGAAAAGGUUUCUAUUAAUACUAGGAGCUCAUGACGGUACUGUAAGAAUAAGCACCGGCUAACUACGUGCCAGCAGCCGCGGUAAUACGUAGGGUGCAAGCGUUAAUCGGAAUUACUGGGCGUAAAGCGUGCGCAGGCGGUUAUAUAAGUCAGAUGUGAAAUCCCCGGGCUCAACCUGGGAACUGCAUUUGAGACUGUAUAGCUAGAGUACGGUAGAGGGGGAUGGAAUUCCGCGUGUAGCAGUGAAAUGCGUAGAUAUGCGGAGGAACACCGAUGGCGAAGGCAAUCCCCUGGACC